UCUAACAUGAAACUGAGAAGUACAUAUUACUCCAACACAUGGCUAUUUAUACGAUUCACUCUUUUUCAGCCCAAUCAUACGAGUAAUUAACAGUUCAAAAGGAAAACUAAGUAAAUCAAAUCAUCUACUAUCUACCUUACUGAAGCAGUUGGAAUAUGUAAAUUCCGUGAGGCAAAAUGAGUGAUUCGUUUCAUUGUUGCAUUUCAACUUCAAAGCUAUAUCACUAUAAGAUUCGCAUGUGUACCUGGAAUUCAAAUUAUAACAAGAGAAAAUAGAGGUCAAGAGCAACAGUGUAACAAUAGUAGCACAAAAACAACAGUAACACAGCAAUAAGAAAACCCCAGCAACAGAGUUUAACAAAAACCAACAGAAUUUCCAGCAAACUCGACGAAACAGUACCAACACAAACCAAUGCGGACAAGAAAUAACAACUCAAGAAACCACUUAAACCUCACUGUAACCCAGAAAUAACCAACAAACAGAAUAGAAGCAGAAUGUAUUCAGAAGCGCAAAGGAUGCAAUAGACAAUUCUGAUUUUUUGUUGUUUAACCCUCAAAAUAGAACACUCUUAAGAAAAACUCCCAAACCCAGCGAUCUAUUUUUGUGAUUUUAAGACCAGACUGAUUUUGCUUUCCUUAAUUCUUACUCUUCUUCUCUGUUUUCCCCCGUUGAUUAAAAACUGCCCUCUUUAGUCCCAAAUGACCUCUAUC
rnacentral:lncRNA from 1 species